rnacentral:rRNA from 1 species
GUGGGGAAUCUUGCGCAAUGGGCGAAAGCCUGACGCAGCCAUGCCGCGUGAAUGAUGAAGGUCUUAGGAUUGUAAAAUUCUUUCACCGGGGACGAUAAUGACGGUACCCGGAGAAGAAGCUCCGGCUAACUUCGUGCCAGCAGCCGCGGUAAGACGAGGGAUCCUAGCGUUGUUCGGAAUUAUUGGGCGUAAAGCGGGUGCAGGUGGCUUGGUAAGUCAGAUGUGAAAGCCUGGGGCUUAACCCCAGAAGUGCAUUUGAUACUGCUGAGCUUGAGUGCUGGAGAGGCUAUUAGAAUUCCUGGUGUAGGGGUGAAAUACGUAGAUAUCAGGAGGAAUACCGGAGGCGAAGGCGGAUAGCUGGCCAGACACUGACACUCAGACCCGAAAGCGUGGGGAUCAAACAGGAUUAGAAACCCUGGUAGUCC